rnacentral:rRNA from 1 species
UACGUAGGGGGCAAGCGUUAUCCGGAUUUACUGGGUGUAAAGGGAGCGUAGACGGUGAAGCAAGUCUGGAGUGAAAGCCCGGGGCCCAACCCCGGGACUGCUCUGGAAACUGUAUCACUAGAGUACAGGAGGGGCAGGCGGAAUUCCUGGUGUAGCGGUGAAAUGCGUAGAUAUCAGGAGGAACACCGGCGGCGAAGGCGGCCUGCUGGACUGAGACUGACGUUGAGGCUCGAAAGCGUGGGGAGCAAACAGG